rnacentral:lncRNA from 1 species
GUACAUUUAGUUUCACGUCUACUCGUUCAGAGAGAGGGGACAAACAAACAGUUGUGCAAACAUGUAUAAAUGCACCUUCCUACACCAUACUCGCGGCGUCCAAACAGUUUGAAUAAAAUAUACACCCACAGAGUGAACCGUUUGUCUCCGGUGCCGUUUCCACUACAGCUGCACGCUGUCACUGCCGCCAUUUGUAUUGGUAUAACAUGCCUGGGAUCCUUGUCCUUCAAUUUCUCAAAUUCACGGCACAUGUGUUCCUCGAAUUAUUGGGAUAUGAAAUGUUGAAGGAUCUGCCGUCAGAUGGCAGAAGAAUAUGUUACACUUACCGGGUUGUAUUUAAUUAUAAAACUCGUUUGUGAAUGCAUUUAUUUCACUCGGUACUAACUUAACGGACGUAAACAGAAGUCCAAUCACUUGCAAAAAGUUUUCUGCCUCACUUUGCCGAGUAUUUUAGCCAAAUCGAUCAGCUGUUGUCCCAGUGAGACGCCAUGUUACUGUAGUCACGCCUCUAGCUUUGAUCCGAAUGGCCGCUUUGCAUGUUACACACCUUUCGAUCGGUUCUUUCGAUUCGUUGCAAUCGCUUGUCUGUUACUCGAGACAAAACCGAGAUUACCGAUUCUAUGAGCAAGUUGUUUCUUUUCAUAUGCGUGAAGUCAGUGACAGAAGGUUUCGUGGUUCUUCAACUGAACAGCUAGCUGUCAACUGUUAUUGUUUGACUCUUUGUGUCUCGUCUGGUAUAUUACUUAGUCAAAAUUUUUAACCGAUACAUACUUUUCGCUGGCAGUAAAUUCGAAAAUUCAAAAUUUUUAUCAAAAAUCUCGUUGGAAAAUUUUGUGCGUUACGUACACAAUUGAAUAUCUUCGCAAGCUUGACGGUCUCUACGCGAAAAUCGUAAAAUAUGGCGAAUCAUAGUGUACAGAGAUCCGAGGAUAGUCAACGAGCAAUUUUAUACGGUCAAUAAUAAUGUCGGGAGUAAACGAGGCCCCAAAAUCAACAACGAAUUCCGGUUCUGGUCCAGAUAAAUCAGAUUGUGACGCGUGCUGUAGAGAUUAUACACCAAUUGACGAAACUCUGCUGAACGUACAGGAAGCUUUGGCCUCCUCGCCGUUGGGCUGCACUCCCGAAACUUCUUGUUUAAACUCAACGACGUUGAAGAAGUUGAGAGAAACUGUGACCAAACCCGGAAAUCCACCUGCAAGCAAUAAUACCGGAAAUUCAAAUUGCAAAAGCUGAAAUAUUUGUUGCGAAAAUUCUUCGACGUACCAAACUUUUGUAAGCCAUGCCGGAAUCUGGUCCUGCAGGUUGUACGCGAGAUGAUAACUGUAAAAAAGAUCGACAGCUGAGGUUAGCAGCAGCCGUAGCAAAGAAUUCGGAACCUCAAGCUUCAAAAUCGGUUGCAACGACGGAUGCUGGAAAAUCGUCGGUAAAAAAGGAAGAAAACGUGGCCUCGUCAACAGCAGCAGUAUCAGAAUCGACAGCAGGAGCAGCAAAUUCGGAAGAUGAAAGAAAAUCGGAUUAGAGAUAUAGACACCUCAAUUCUGGCUUCAAGACUCAGAUUUUGAACCGAUACUUUUAGCGGCCGAGACUCAAUUCGAAGUGAUUUUAAAAAACACUGUCACGAGUCCUGUGCGCUCUUUCACGAUUAAUCGAAUCAUCGACUCAUUACUAAUCUAGAAUUAAAAGACUAUAUCCAAUAUCGGGAUAACGAAAAACCUACUCUCGAUAUCGCAAUCCGUAUAUUUUCAACUCUACUGCACAAUUAUGAGCGGAAAAGACGACAACG